GGGUGCGAUCAUACCAAUGUCAAUGCACCAGAUCCCAUCAGAACUCCUCAGUUAAGCGCGCUUGGGCUAGAGUAGUACUGGGAUGGGUGACCUCUCGGGAAGUCCUACUGUUUCACCCU
rnacentral:rRNA from 1 species